AUUUUUUGAUGAAUAGUUGUAUUUUAAAAAAUAUAAUUCUCAAAAUUUAUAUUUUAGGAUAGUUUUCAUUUUGGUGAAUAAUAGUGUGGAUUUGGGGUUUUGAUUUAGAAUUUAGGAUAAUAAAAAAAUUUUGUUGAUAGAUGGAGUAUUCUUUUAGAUUUUUUGAUGAAUAGUUGUAUUUUUUUAAAUAUAAUUCUCAAAAUAUCUAUUUUAGGAAAGUUUUCAUUUUGGUAAAUAAUAAUGUGGAUUUGGGGGUUUGAUUUAGAAAUUAUGAUAACAAGAUUUGUUUGUUGAUAGAUGGAGUAUUCUUUUAGAUUUUUUGAUGAAUAGUUGUAUUUUUUAAAUAUAAUUCUCAAAAUUUCUAUUUUAGGAAAGUUUUCAUUUUGGUGAAUAAUAGUGUGAAUUUGGGGAUUUGAUAUAGAAUUUAGGAUAACAAGAAUUAUUUGUUGAUAGAUGGAGAAUUCUUUUAGAUUUUUUGAUGAAUAGUUGUAUAUCUUAAAUAUAAUUCUCAAAAUUUCUAUUUUAGAAAAGUUUUCAUUUUGGUGAAUAAUAGUGUGGAUUUGGGGUUUUGUUUUAGAAAUUAGGAUAACAAGAAUUGUUUGUUGAUAGAUGGAGAAUUCUUUUAGAUUUUUUGAUGAAUAGUUGUAUUUUAAAAAAUAUAAUUCUCAAAAUUUCUAUUUUAGGAAAGUUUUCAUUUUGGUGAAUAAUAGUGUGGAUUUGAGGUUUUUAUUUAGAAUUUAAGAUAACUAGAAUUUUUGUUGAUAGAUGGAGUAUUCUUUUAGAUUUUUUGAUGAAUAGUUGUAUUUUAAAAAAUAUAAUUCUCAAAAUUUGUAUUUUAGGAAAGUUUUCAUUUUGGUGAAUAAUAGUGUGGAUUUGGGGUUUUGAUUUAUAAAUUAGGACAACCGGAGAGAGUACAAUAAUUAUAUCUGAGAUAAUU
rnacentral:lncRNA from 1 species